CGGAGGCCAGUGACCUCUACGUUCGGGACGUAGAGGUCGCAGGUUCGAAUCCUGUCUCCCCGACCA
rnacentral:tRNA from 1 species